rnacentral:lncRNA from 1 species
GGGAGUCUAACGUAUUAAAAUAAAUUAUAUAAUAAGUAUGAAGCAAGAAGCCAAAAAAUCAUAAUGUGUUUGUUAAAGAUGGUGUGGUUAAAUUUCCAUGGGAAAAGCCAUUGGUGAAAGAAGAAGAGGGGGUUAAUUCGAUGAGCAGUCGGAGUAGGACUCAUCUGGCUGAGCUGGCACUACCUGCUUCUGAGCUCAGAAGGUUAACAAAUUUGGCUCUUAGGAUAAAGAACAAGACGAGGAUUAGCGGUGCUGGUGUUACGCAACAAGUUGUAGAAACCAUUCGUGAGAAGUGGAACACAUCGGAGGUUGUCAGCGGAGUAGGACUCAUCUGGCUGAGCUGACACUACCUGCUUCUGAUCUCAGAAGGUUGACAAAUUUGGCUCUUAGGAUAAAGAACAAGACGAGGAUUAGUGGUGCUGGAGUUACGCAACAAGUUGUAGAAACCAUUCGUGAGAAGUGGAACACAUCGGAGGUUGUCAGGUUGAA